rnacentral:tRNA from 1 species
AUUUAAGUAGUUUAAAUAAAACAUUGAUUUGUGGUGUCAAAUAUACAAAUAUUUUUGUCUUAGAUC